GGAAUGAAAAGCUGACCAGUGCCAGAACAAGCGUCAGCUACAAAGCUGUCAUCGUUGUCGUGGUGUUGGUGGUUGGGGACGUCCAAUUGGGGUGGAGGAUUAGGUUUGGGUUUUGGAGGGGCGAAGGAGAUGUUGAAUUGUAGAGAGGAAGAGCAAGAGAUGCGAGGGAGUGUGCGGAGGGGUUUGAAAAGAGAGACGGAAUGUUUUGAGAAGACAAGGUGAUGGACGUGAAGAGAUGAGAGUGUAGCUACCGAUCUCAUUUUUCCACUUCUCCUUUCUGGUUUGCCUCUGCUAUUGGGG
rnacentral:misc_RNA from 1 species